GUAACACGUGAGCAACCUGGCUCUAAGAGGGGGGACGAACAGUUGGAAACGACUGCUAAUACCGCAUAACGUAUCGGGAUGGCAUCUUCCUGAUACCAAAAGAUUUUAUCGCUUAGAGAUGGGCUCGCGUCUGAUUAGAUAGUUGGCGGGGUAACGGCCCACCAAGUCGACGAUCAGUAGCCGGACUGAGAGGUUGAACGGCCACAUUGGGACUGAGACACGGCCCAGACUCCUACGGGAGGCAGCAUG
rnacentral:rRNA from 1 species